rnacentral:rRNA from 1 species
UAAGUAGUUAUGGGGAGUCUGCCCGAUAGAGGGGGAUAACUACUGGAAACGGUGGCUAAUACCGCAUAAUGUCUACGGACCAAAGCAGGGGCUCUUCGGACCUUGCACUAUCGGAUGAACCCAUAUGGGAUUAGCUAGUAGGUGGGGUAAAGGCUCACCUAGGCGACGAUCUCUAGCUGGUCUGAGAGGAUGAUCAGCCACACUGGGACUGAGACACGGCCCAG